UCCCCGUUACCGGGGCAGUCUGAAUAGAAAAAUACAACUAUUCAUAAGGGUUGCGCUCGUUGAUGGACUUAACCAAACAUCUCACGACACGAGCUGACGACGGCCAUGCAUCACCUGUCAUUAGGUUCUAAAAGCACUCACUUCUUUCGAAGUAAUUCCUAAGAUGUCAAACCCUGGUAAGGUUCUUCGCUUACCAUCGAAUUAAACAACACGCUCCACCGCUUGUGCGGCUCCCCGUCAAUUCCUUUAUGCUUUAGCCUUGCGGCCGUACUCCACAGGCGGGAUGCUUAACGCGUUAGCUUUGCUACCGAAGGGGUCGAUACCUCCAACAGCUAGCAUCCAUCGUUUACGGCGUGGACUAC
rnacentral:misc_RNA from 1 species